UGCUGGCUAGCAUCUCCAUGGUAACCGUACACAAACCACCUUUCGCUGCAGGCCGAGCGGUCAGCCUACAGAUCCAGGACGCCGCAGAGCGAAGCGGGAUGCGCUGGAGAUCUCCAAGACUGUUAAACAACUGGCAGAGGAACAAUGUAGUGUUUUGGGAAAGAGUCGGUUAUUGAUUAUAGACGUCAACGUCCACCUGGAACGGUUCCUUAGCAUCUCAUCUCUUAUGCUUCAGGCAGAGAGUGCUAUCCCUGUGUGUGAAUAGCUGAAUCGUGGGCCGUAGCAAAAUAAAUGUGAAGAGCUGUGAAUGUAGCAGUGAAUGUUAACCUGUUGGAUAUCAUUAACUCCUUGCAUUUGGGCAGCACUCAACCGUUUGUAGAGCGAGCUCACAACAGAGCAACUAGGGACCCAAGAUUCCUUCCUUGCCAUAAUUCUAUGACUAUGACAGAGAUGUAACUUUUAGGAAAUAAGUGCCUCUGGAAUAAAGGAGUAAAGAGUGCCAGCUUAAAAUGCUAACGCUCAGUUCAAGAUGUCCAGUCAGUUAAUUAUAUAAUCACACAACCCAUGUAAAGAAUUCAUCAAACUGAGAGCUCAUGCGAUCCUUGCAUACAAAUUCAAAAGCACCGAUGCGUUUAAAUGUAAUUCUGCAGAACUCCACAGCUCGAGGAGAAUCCACUAAAUUCAUGGAACUUGAUAGAAAGCACCAACUCAAAGGGUCACACCACAAACCUCUGUUUGCUGGGGCUCAGCAGUUGCCGGUGCACCUAAGAAUGAUGACGCGUUUACACACUUUACCCAUAACACGUUGCUUCUGCCAACCUGGUCAUGAGCUGGCAGAGCUCAAAUACUUGGCAGUGAUCCUAAUGAGGAAGGCUCUAUUCAGUUACCACAUCAGUACAAACGGAUGCAACCAUUAGUGUUUCGUCGGAGGGAAGGGAGGGGUCCUAGUGUUCCAGAGUAUGGAGGGCUCUUUGAGAGGCUUCAUCCUAUGCAUCUGCUGCUGUGCCUCGUCCAUGUUAAGUCUUUAAAGAGAAGUAGAAAACAGCCAACUCACCUGUGAGACAUUACUGCCCGUGCAGUGUCUUUUGACAGUAGUCACCUGAAAAUAACACACAGUUCUACCCAAAGGAGCUUAAACACCAAGCCUGUGGUGUGCUAACUUGUUUAGCAAUCAUCUGGAAGUGGACGGUUCCACUGUGUUGCCCAGCCAUCAGCAUGUGUCAGCCAUAGCUCCCAGUGCGGUCACAGAUGGUUAUGGCAUCCAUCACUGAGCUGUGCAUUCUCAGCCCACAGUGUCCAGAGUCAGCAAGAAAAGUGGGUGGACCCUCUUCAUCUACAUCAGUAGAAUAGGAAGGAUUACAUUUCCCAGGGACCUAGAGAAGCACUUCCACAGUAGGCACAAGGCCCUAAGAUCAAUUGUGGGGCAAGUGGACUCUGUCACCAGAACAAAGAACUGGUAAGGCUGAGUGAGCUCAGGCCCCGGGAAUCUCAAAUUUGAGAAUGGCAGUAGAGCCAUUCCCUGCCUACCUCUAACUGCUCUGGAACAGGUAACCACGACACCCCAUGAGAGGACCAUGACAAUCAGCCACAUAAGAAAACACCUGAAGUCCUUCCCCAUGCAAACAGAGCAUCGCCAACACCUCAAACUAAGUCAGUGGGAACCAUCGACUCCUGAGUCCCACCACUCCUCAGUGUUUAUAUAGUCCCUGCCCCCAUGGAAUAAAAUAUACAAGCUAUU